GGGUGCUUAGCUCAGUGGUAGAGCGGCGCCCUUACAAGGCGUAGGUCGGGAGUUCGAGCCUCUCAGCACCCACCA
rnacentral:tRNA from 1 species